GAGGCAUCACAUAACCUCCAGAGCAAUAAAGAAGUUAGCAUGAUGAUGUCUGAGAUCCUUAGAGAGCACAAACUGGCAGUGUAAUACAUAGAAGAGAAUUACUUUUGAAGCAAGGAAGAAGCUGCACCAGCCUGUGUUGAGCAAGUCUUUCUGAGGGCCGGAGAAGGAGUUGAACUGAGAAGUCAUUAUGCUCUCCACAAUACCCAGAGAUGAAUGGGGUAAGUGCAGCAGCAGCGCCCAGAGGUAGUUAGGUUUCUUCUGACUGGAGUAAGCAA